rnacentral:rRNA from 1 species
GAAUAAGUGCACAUGGUGGAUGCCUUGGCGAUUACAGGCGAUGAAGGACGUAGUAGCUUGCGAUAAGCUGCGGGGAGUGAGCAAACACACUUUGAUCCGCAGAUUUCCGAAUGGGGAAACCCGGCCUUUUAGGUCAUUGCAUACUGAAUACAUAGGUAUGCAAAGCGAACGCGGCGAACUGAAACAUCUAAGUAGCUGCAGGAAAAGAAAUCAACCGAGAUUCCCAAAGUAGUGGCGAGCGAAAUGGGAUGAGCCUUGUACGUGAUAGUCGGACUGAUAGUGGAAUCCUUUGGAAACAGGAGCCAUAGCGGGUGAUAGCCCCGUACACGAAAUCAGACCGGUGGUACUAAGCGUACGACAAGUAGGGCGGGACACGAGAAAUCCUGUCUGAAUAUGGGGGGACCAUCCUCCAAGGCUAAAUACUCGUAAUCGACCGAUAGUGAACCAGUACCGUGAGGGAAAGGCGAAAAGAACCCCGGGAGGGGAGUGAAAUAGAUCCUGAAACCGUGUGCAUACAAACAGUCGGAGCCUCUUCGUGGGGUGACGGCGUACCUUUUGUAUAAUGGGUCAGCGACUUACAUUCAGUGGCGAGGUUAACCGAAUAGGGGAGCCGUAGAGAAAUCGAGUCCGAACAGGGCGACAGUCGCUGGGUGUAGACCCGAAACCAGGUGAUCUACCCAUGGCCAGGAUGAAGGUGCGGUAACACGCCCUGGAGGUCCGAACCCACUAAUGUUGAAAAAUUAGGGGAUGAGCUGUGGGUAGGGGUGAAAGGCUAAACAAACCUGGAAAUAGCUGGUUCUCUCCGAAAACUAUUUAGGUAGUGCCUCAAGUAUCACCAUCGGGGGUAGAGCACUGUUAUGGCUAGGGGGUCAUUGCGACUUACCAAACCAUUGCAAACUCCGAAUACCGAUGAGUGCGAGCUUGGGAGACAGACGUCGGGUGCUAACGUCCGGCGUCAAGAGGGAAACAACCCAGACCGCCAGCUAAGGUCCCAAAGAUUGGCUAAGUGGAAAACGAAGUGGGAAGGCUAAAACAGUCAGGAUGUUGGCUUAGAAGCAGCCAUCAUUUAAAGAAAGCGUAAUAGCUCACUGAUCGAGUCGUCCUGCGCGGAAGAUGUAACGGGGCUAAGCCAGUCACCGAAGCUGCGGAUAUGU